rnacentral:lncRNA from 1 species
AUUAUCCUGAGAUAACUCAGAAACAGAAAGUCAAAUACUGCAUGUUCUCACUUAUAAGUGGAAGCUAAGUAAUGGGUGCACAUGGAUAUACAGAGUGAAAUAAUACACAUUGGAGACUACAAAAAGAAUAAUUAGCUGUUUGACACUCUUCCGGAUAUUGUUUUUGUCACUUAACAACAUAACUUGGUGAUCCUCCCAGAGCAGAAAAGCUCUCCCAGAUAUGUUUCAGGGCAGCGUAACCUUCCUUGUUCUUCCUUCACUGAGCAUGUUAUAUGUGGAAAGAACACAUCCUCACUUGGGGAAACCAGAUAAAUUGUUUAAAUUAUUGCAAAUGUGAAUGAUUUUAAUGUAGAAAUAACCUUUUUCAUUCCACAUUAAUCACAAAUACUGUUCACAACCCUUCGUAAUAAACUUGUCUCUGC